rnacentral:rRNA from 1 species
GUUGAAGCAUGAUCGUAAGGACAUGUGGAGCGCUUAGAAGUGAGAAUGCCGGUGUGAGUAGCGAAAGACGGGUGAGAAUCCCGUCCACCGAUUGACUAAGGUUUCCAGAGGAAGGCUCGUCCGCUCUGGGUUAGUCGGGUCCUAAGCUGAGGCCGACAGGCGUAGGCGAUGGAUAACAGGUUGAUAUUCCUGUACCACCUAUAAUCGUUUUAAUCGAUGGGGGGACGCAGUAGGAUAGGCGAAGCGUGCGAUUGGAUUGCACGUCUAAGCAGUAAGGCUGAGUAUUAGGCAAAUCCGGUACUCGUUAAGGCUGAGCUGUGAUGGGGAGAAGACAUUGUGUCUUCGAGUCGUUGAUUUCACACUGCCGAGAAAAGCCUCUAGAUAGAAAAUAGGUGCCCGUACCGCAAACCGACACAGGUAGUCAAGAUGAGAAUUCUAAGGUGAGCGAGCGAACUCUCGUUAAGGAACUCGGCAAAAUGCCCCCGUAACUUCGGGAGAAGGGGUGCUCUUUAGGGUUAACGCCCAGAAGAGCCGCAGUGAAUAGGCCCAAGCGACUGUUUAUCAAAAACACAGGUCUCUGCUAAACCGUAAGG